UUUCCAUUGUUAGGUGGAAGGAGAGAAAACUUAUCAUGAGAGAGUAGCCACAAUUCUUGGCAAUAUCGAAGCUGAGAUGGUAUCUGAGAAGCAAAGAAAAGAGUCUGCUCCUCCUGCAAUGCAAUCAACAAUCGGCCCAGAGAACAAAAAGUAUUUCUUAGCGGAGGCCAUGCAUGGAUUUGAGGCCUCAUCUGAUAAGGAGCUGAGUUUGAAUGAGGGUGAUUAUGUUGUUGUCAGAAGGGU